AAAUUUAUUAUAUUAUUUUUUAUUUUUGUUUAUUUUAACAUUUAAUAGAAAUAACUUUAUUUUAUUUUGUCUUAGUAUAUUUUAAGGAAUUGAUUUAAAUUAUUAUAGUUUAUUAGUAAUGUAAUUGGAUUAUGAAAUAUUAUCUUAAAUUUUAAAAAGUAAAUUUUAUUUAUUGUACCUUUUGUAUCAGGGUUUAUUAAAAUUUUAGUUUUUAUUUACUAUUCUCGAUUUGGGUUGAUUUAAAAACAAAUUUUAGUUAAUGUUGCAUAAUUAUUAAAAAUUUGUUUUUAGAAAUGAAAUGUUAUUCGUUUCCUAAGAUAUCUAGUUUCUUAAGAGAAAAAUUUAAUUUUUAGAUUUAGUGUUUUUAUUUUAUUUUUUAAUUGAAAAUAUUAAUUUAUUAAUUUUUUAGGGGAUAAGCUCUAAAAUGAAUAUCCUAUAAUUUAUUUAAUUAAAAUAUAAUAAUAAGCUUUAAACCAGCUAUUUUUAAGAUUACGUUUUAGUUCAUUAUUUGAAAUAUAAUUUUAUAAUUAUUUUAGGUUUUUUAUUAAGAUAAUAAAUUUAAUAUUUAAAUUUUUGUAAUAAUGAUGGAAUUAGUAUAUUUAUUUUGUUUAUGUUAGUUUAAGGUAUAAAUUUAUUAUAAGGAACUUGGCAAAAUUGAUUUUCGCCUGUUUAUCAAAAACAUGUCCUUUUGAUAAUAUUUUAAGGUCUGACCUGCUCACUGAGAAUUUUGAAGAGCCGCGGUAUUUUGACCGUGCAAAGGUAGCAUAAUCAUUAGUCUCUUAAUUAGAGGCUGGAAUGAAUGGUUUGACGAAAAAUUAACUGUCUCUUGAUAAAUUUUAAAAUUUAACUUUUGAGUUAAAAGGCUUAAAUUUUUCUUUAGGACGAGAAGACCCUAUAGAGCUUAACAUUUUAAUUAUAUAUAUUUUUAAGUUGGUCUUUUUAUAUUUAAUGAUAAUGUUUUAUUGGGGUGAUAUGAAGAAUAAAUAAACUCUUCAUUAUAAAAUCAUUAAUUUAUGUUUGUUUUGAUCCAUAAUUUAUGAUCAUAAGAUUAAGUUACCUUAGGGAUAACAGCGUAAUUGUUUUUGAGAGCUCAUAUCGACAAAGCAGAUUGCGACCUCGAUGUUGGAUUAAGAAAAGUUUUGGGUGCAGUAACCCAAAGAUUAGGUCUGUUCGACCUUUAAUUCUUACAUGAUCUGAGUUCAGACCGGCGUGAGCCAGGUCGGUUUCUAUCCUAAGAUUAAAAAAUUCAUAUUAGUACGAAAGGACCAUAUGGGUAAAAUAUUUUUUUUAAAAAGUGAUUAAGAUUAAU
rnacentral:rRNA from 1 species